rnacentral:tRNA from 1 species
UGCCCCUGUGACGCAAUUGGCAGACGUAGCCCGCUUAAACCGGGUUUGUUGCAGGUUCAAUUCCUGUCAGGGGUAU